rnacentral:rRNA from 1 species
UACAGAGGGUGCGAGCGUUGUCCGGAAUCAUUGGGCGUAAAGGGCGCGUAGGUGGCGGCUUAAGCGUGCGGUGAAAGCUCGGGGGCUCAACCCCGAGUCGGCCGUGCGAACUGAGUCGCUUGAGCACUGUAGAGGCAGGCGGAAUUCCGGGUGUAGCGGUGGAAUGCGUAGAGAUCCGGAAGAACACCGGUGGCGAAGGCGGCCUGCUGGGCAGUAGCUGACACUGAGGCGCGACAGCGUGGGGAGCAAACAGG